GAAUUUUGGACAAUGGGCGAAAGCCUGAUCCAACAAUGCCGCGUGCAGGAUGAAGGCCUUCGGGCUUUAAACUGCUUUUGUACGGAACGAAAAGCUUUGGGUUCAUACCCUUGAGUCAUGCCGGUACCGGCAGAAUAAGCACCGGCUAACUACCUGCCAGCAGCCGCGGUAAUACGCAGGGUGCAAGCGUUAAUCGGAAGUACUGGGCGUAAAGCGGGCUCAGUCGGUGUUAUAAGAAAGAAGUGAAAUCACCGGGGGCAACCUGGGAACUGCAUCCAAAACUGGCGAGCUAGAGUAGGGCAGAGGGGGGUGGAAGUCCGCGUGUAGCAGUGAAAUGCGUAGAAAUGCGGAGGAACACCGAUGGCGAAGGCAACCCCCUGGGCCUGUACUGACGCUCAUGCACGAAAGCGUGGGGAGCAAACA
rnacentral:rRNA from 1 species